UCGAACGAACUUCCGUUAAUUGAUUAUGACGUACUUGUACUGAUUGAGAUUUUAACACGAAGUGAGUGGCGAACGGGUGAGUAACACGUGGGUAACCUGCCCAGAAGUAGGGGAUAACACCUGGAAACAGAUGCUAAUACCGUAUAACAGAGAAAACCGCAUGGUUUUCUUUUAAAAGAUGGCUCUGCUAUCACUUCUGGAUGGACCCGCGGCGUAUUAGCUAGUUGGUGAGGUAAAGGCUCACCAAGGCAGUGAUACGUAGCCGACCUGAGAGGGUAAUCGGCCACAUUGGGACUGAGACACGGCCCAGACUCCUACGGGAGGCAGCAGUAGGGAAUCUUCCACAAUGGACGCAAGUCUGAUGGAGCAACGCCGCGUGAGUGAAGAAGGGUUUCGGCUCGUAAAGCUCUGUUGUUAAAGAAGAACGUGGGUAAGAGUAACUGUUUACCCAGUGACGGUAUUUAACCAGAAAGCCACGGCUAACUACGUGCCAGCAGCCGCGGUAAUACGUAGGUGGCAAGCGUUAUCCGGAUUUAUUGGGCGUAAAGCGAGCGCAGGCGGUCUUUUAAGUCUAAUGUGAAAGCCUUCGGCUCAACCGAAGAAGUGCAUUGGAAACUGGGAGACUUGAGUGCAGAAGAGGACAGUGGAACUCCAUGUGUAGCGGUGAAAUGCGUAGAUAUAUGGAAGAACACCAGUGG
rnacentral:rRNA from 1 species